rnacentral:rRNA from 1 species
CCUAGCGGCAGACGGGUGAGUAACAUGUGGGAAUCUGCCUUUUGGUUCGGAACAACACGGGGAAGCCUGUGCUAAUACCGGAUAAGUCCUAACGGAGAAAGUUUUAAUGCCAAGAGAUGAGCCCGCAUUUGGUUAGCUAGUUGGUAGGGUAAAGGCCUACCAAGGCGACGAUCCGUAGCUGGUCUGAGAGGACGACCAGCCACACUGGAACUGAGACACGGCCCAGACUCC